UCAGCAGGGGCUUCGCCGUCGUAGUCCGG
rnacentral:sRNA from 1 species